UUGAACGCUGGCGGCAGGCCUAACACAUGCAAGUCGAGCGCGAAAGGUCUUCGGGCUGAGUAAAGCGGCGGACGGGUGAGUAACGCGUGGGAAUCUGCCCAGUAGUGGGGGACAACAGCCGGAAACGGCUGCUAAUACCGCAUACGCCCUACGGGGGAAAGGGGGGGAUCUUCGGACCUCUCGCUAUUGGAUGAGCCCGCGUCGGAUUAGCUAGUUGGUAGGGUAAAGGCCUACCAAGGCGACGAUCCGUAACUGGUCUGAGAGGAUGAUCAGUCACACUGGAACUGAGACACGGUCCAGACUCCUACGGGAGGCGGCAGUGGGGAAUAUUGGACAAUGGGGGAAACCCUGAUCCAGCCAUGCCGCGUGUGUGAAGAAGGCCUUAGGGUUGUAAAGCACUUUCAGUGGGGAGAAAGGUUUGUCACCUAAUACGUGAUGAAAUUGAUGUUACCCACAGAAGAAGCACCGGCUAACUCCGUGCCAGCAGCCGCCGUAA
rnacentral:rRNA from 1 species